CUGUUGUCCAAUUGUUACAUCACCAUUUGUUGAAAAGACCUUCCUUUCCCCGCUAAAGGAUUCGGUGAAUCACCUUGGCAACUUCGAUGAAAAUCCGUUCAUAUCCCCAAACCUGGCUCUUCCUAACGUCUCCUGAGGUGAUGCGGACAAGCGAUGCUUGGUGGCAGACAGCAAAGCAACUUCCAUGUUCGCCAGAAACUCUUUCCGAGGCAGCCCGUUCAUUUCAGUACACCAGAUGGAGUCUUGCUCUGUUGCCCAGGCUAGAAUGCAGUGGCUUGAUCUCAGCUCACAAAACCUCCACCUCCUGGGUUCAAAUGCUUCUCUCGCCUCAGCCUCCUGAAUAGCUGGGAUUACAGGCAGGUGCCACCACACUCUGCUAAUUUUUGUAUUUUUAGUAGAGAUGGGGUUUCACCAUGUUGGCCAGGCUCCUCUCGAAUUCCUGACCUCCUGAUCCACCUGCCUCAGCCUCCCAAAGUGCUGGGCUUAUAGGCAUCAGAGACCACACUUGUAAGAACCACCGAACUAGAGCAAUCUAGUCAGCAUAAUAAUGCUUUUUUUUUUUUUUUUGAGACAGAGUCUCACUCUGUCACCCAGGCUGAAAUGCAGUGGUGCCAUCUCAGCUCACUGCAACCUUGCUGUCCUGGGUUCAAGCAAUUCUCCUGCCUCAGCUUCCUGAGUAGCUGGAUUUCAGGCAUGUGCCACAACACCUUGCUAAUUUAUGUAUUUUUAGUAGAGACAGGGUUUAGCCAGGCUGGCCAGGUUGGUCUGGAAGUCCUGAUAUCAGGUGAUCCACUGCCUUGGCCUCCCAGAGUGUUGGGAGUACAGGCAUGAGCCAUCACAUGGUGUCAAAAGCUAAUAAUGCUUUGAAGCCAGUGAUCCAACUUAAGAUCUCUAACUUAGAAACUUUAAAAUUGUCAUUCACUAUUAAAAAAAUCAAAAGAGCCAUAUUCUCAAAUCACACAAAGCUCAACACCAUUAAUCCCUACAAAUUCAUUAAAUAUUGAAUAUUUAUGAAGUCCAAUUUAUAAACUGCCAGUAGUUACCCAGAAAAUCUACAAUAAACCAAGUUCACUGAGUUUAUAAGAAUCCAGGAUUCCCAAUCACUUUCUCUUUUGUUUUGUUUUGUUUUGUUUUGAGAUGG